rnacentral:rRNA from 1 species
GAGUUUGAUCCUGGCUCAGAACGAACGCUGGCGGCGUGCCUAACACAUGCAAGUCGAACGGAUUUGAGGAGCUUGCUUCUCAAGUUAGUGGCGCACGGGUGAGUAACGCGUAGAUAAUCUGCCUGAUGAUCUGGGAUAACACUUCGAAAGGGGUGCUAAUACCGGAUAAGCCCMCGGAGUCUUUGGACUUUGCGGGAAAAGGGGGGGACCUUCGGGCCUUCUGUCAUCAGAUGAGUCUGCGUACUAUUAGCUAGUUGGUAGGGUAAAGGCCUACCAAGGCUACGAUGGUUAGCUGGUCUGAGGGGAUGAUCAGCCACACUGGAACUGAGACACGGUCCAGACUCCUACGGGAGGCAGCAGUGGGGAAUUUUGCGCAAUGGGCGAAAGCCUGACGCAGCAACGCCGCGUGAGUGAUGAAGGCUUUCGGGUCGUAAAGCUCUGUCGAGGGGAAAGAAGUGUAUUGCGGCUAAUAUCCGCGAUACUUGACGGUACCCCUAAAGGAAGCACCGGCUAACUCCGUGCCAGCAGCCGCGGUAAUAC